AGGGGCCCCGGGGAGACACAUGUGACAGCAUCCCCCCUUCAGCCCCCCAUUACCCCCGAGUCACAUGAGCUCCAGGAUUCAGUGUUGGGGCCGAGAGGCUGGCGCAGAGCAGGGUCAGCUGACGGUGCUGCCGCCCCUCGGCUUCAGUGUGGCCAAGCAGGGGCAUUAUCCCAGUCAGUCUGCAGAGCCGCUGUCCAGCCCGAUCGCGCAAUGGACCCCAUUGACGAGAAAAAGCUACGGGCCCUGCAGAUGUUGCAGCCACCGGGUCUGGGUAAGGGUCGCGCGCUGCUGGCCACCCUGCGGACUCUGAUGCUCUUCACCGCCGCGAUGAUCACCUUGCCCAUCGGUCUCUACUUCGUGUCUAAGACGUACCUCUUCGAAGGCAUGCUGGGCUUGCCUGCCAUCGACAGCUAUUUCUACUCCGCGAUCGUGGCCGUAGUCUCCGUACAUAUAGUGCUGGCCCUCUUCGUCUACAUGGCCUGGAACGAGGGGACCCGGCAGUGGCAGGAGGCGAGCAAGCUAGAAUAGGACAGCAGCCUCGCCCCGACGGCCCUCCCUCACACCCACCCCCAGACCCCCCAGCUGGGGAGGGGGGCCCAGCGAAAAGAUCCGGGGCUUGGGCGUGCGUGGGCAGGGCCGAUGGUGGGGGCCGCUGCUUUCCACCCGACCCGUGAAUGUUUGAGGAGACUCCAGUGUGGAUAUUGUGCUGACUAUGUCUCCAUUUUCCCUGAUUACGGCACCAGAAGAAGAGAGUUGCCGUCAUCUGCAAUGCCAGUCAAAGACUCCACAUAUUCUGUGAUUAAAAACACCUGCUUGUCCUUGUACCAAUGGAAACCAAGGAAAACUCCCCAGUUCUUCAUUUAUUUGGUUUCCACUCUGUGCUCUGAGAGAUCCAGCCUAAUUCAUUGGUGGCAGAUGCAGGACAGAUUUCAUUUCCAAAUUCAGAAGGCUGAAAGCUGAAGAUUUUGCUGAUUAUUACUGACAAUCAUCCUACCUACCAUAGAAUUCCAGGGCCUAUUACAGCCUUCCCCCACCUCCCUGGGCCUGUUUGGUCCUUUAGCUCAGAGGACCACCUGCUUCAUCUCAAAACCUAGGUCCAGAGUAGCCACUGUUCUCAGAUCAAGAUAGGGCUUGGCUUGGUCCUAUGCUUUGGGGUCUGUACCCUCCAUAAUCUAUACUAUUAUUCCGAAGGCAGUGUGGAGUAAUGGAAGGAGCACCAGAUUCAGACUCAGAAGACUUGGGUUUGAAUCCUAGAGCUCUACCACUAAUUAGAUGCAAUUUACUUUAGUAUUCUGACUCUCAGUUUACCCAUCCAAUAAAUGAGUUUAAAUUGGGUAAUUAAAAAAGGAUCAUGCCACCUCCAGCAUAGAUUAACUUCUGUAUAAAUUGGGUCAAAUCCAGUCACUUUUCUCAAUUUCAUCAUCUCAAGGGCCACCCCCACCUCCUUAGUAAAUCUGAUCCUGAGGGGUUAGGAAUCCAAAUGUGCCAGGUCCACUUUUGUCCCUCAUAAUAACCAGUCAUUGUAAAACCACUGAAAGAUAUGUUUCAUUUCACAUCUACUAGAUGUCUUUCUGGUUUUUAGCUAUAGGUAUUCUCAGUAUGAUCUAACUUACCUGGAUCUCACACCAAGCUCUCUGGAAUUCCAUGUUUUCAUUAAUUGUUUUUGCUUGUCUUGUGCAGCAAUGACACUGGUCUUCUGUCCUUCUCUAUAUAGUUUUUCAAAUGAGCUCAUAUUCUAAACUAUUGCUACCUGUGGCUGCUAUGUCUGCUUCACAAAAUUGAGUGCUUGACACCUGUGGCAGUUUCUGGCCUCUUUUGGUCUCCUUGUUGUGACAACUAGUCAGCAUAAUUUGGACUUUUCUAGGAAAUGGUGAUAAAAGCAAUUUUGUCCAUUUGUUUUUGUGGGACCCCCCCACCAUUUGAUUCUUGUUUUAACCUUUGCUCUAAUCAAAAUUAAUUAAUUGAUCUGAUUGUAUAACACCAGCUGACUCCAAAGUCACUGCUAUAGUGGAUCCAUGGUUUCCUAUCUUUUAAGGUAUGUUAGCUAUUUGGCACAUGAAGUGCUUUCUAACACUUCAGUUGAAAAUGUCCACAAUUUAUUGAUGUGAGGCUUCUGAAUGGUCCACAAGCCUUUGACCCCUUUCCUUUCUUGGUCCUGAACCAUAUUCUCCAAUGUAGUUUUUAUCAUCCUCACAUGACCGCUUGAGCAUCAAAAUUGUUAAUUUAGUUUAGAGAAUUUCAUCAAGUUAUUUAAAAAACCCAUUUUCUACCCUUUCCUCUGCAAUAUUUAUUGGUAUAUAAGCUUUAUUCACCUUUGCUGUGGCUUGUGAAAUUGGUGAAAACGGCAAGAUGAGAUAACAAAGCAUAGCAUGAAAUGAUAUUUCUUGUUGCCUUGGAGUGUGAUGAAAACAACUUGAACGCCUCAUAUAUUUACUUUGCUGAAGGAGAUUUAUGAGCUAUUCUUGCAUUUUGCUGUGGCUUUGUGACAGCUUCUAGUUUUAUUUAUAGCUAGAAUAGGGCUGAGUGGUUCAAUAUGGUAGAAUACAUGCAGUUCAACAUGGCAGUGGUCCUGCAUAGAGUCUAAAUGAAAGGAUUUCUUAUUGAAGACAAAGUUCUCCAAGUGCUCCUGUUUACAAGUGACUUGCAUCAAGCCCAGGAAUAAUACACUUCAUAUUUAGUACAGUGCCUGGCAUCUAGUAAACACUUGAAUGUUUGUUCACUGACCAACAGUGACAUAUCCAGAAAUGUGAAAGAAUUUAGUGUAUCCUUUGUGGAAAAACAAAGUGGAUAAAAAAUGAAAAUUCCUCAAAAUAUGUCAUGGUGGCAGCAAUCCAACUAGCUAGCCUGUUGAUAUAUGUUUUAUAGGCAAUGAGCUGGACCCAGAAUUUCAUGAGAAAAGAUUAGAUUGAAUUGAACAUAGAGAAUUGUGUAAUGCUUUGCUUUUAGUAAUCCCAAACUGCGUUGUUGUGAAAACCUAAUUCUUUAACUCUGUAUUUUCCCAGUGAUAUUAUAAAACUACUGAUCACGGAAUACCACAUUUUCAGGAAACUCAGUUAAAGACAACCUAAUGGGCAAAGGAAAGAUGCGUGGCAAUAGUGAAUUGUUGUAAGUGAUGGUUUAUGUAUAAGGUGUGACUCCAAAAGCAUCGAAGAGGGGACUAGCCCAGAAAAGGAUGUGGGCUCUUCUUGUAGUGAGAAUGAGAGAACAGAUGGAUGAUUCAAGGGGGGGGGGGGGGGACUCACAAGAUUCAAAGGUCUGCACAUUAGUUGGAUCAUCUCUGAAGGAUUCAUGGAAAAAUUUGGGCAAGACCAACAGAAGGUUGAAAAGGCAUCAAUGAAUUAUAUGGAGUAAAGGAUUGCCAGCAGAGUGGGGAUGCCAUUUUUGGGAACAGCAGCUUCCUGGGUAUCCCUUAAAUCAUGCCUGACUGGGAGCUACCUUCAUGGCUAAAUCCCUCCAUUUAAAAGCCUGAUAUUUUAGAAGAGAAGCAAGUAGGUAAGAGUAGGAGCUAAGGGUUUGUCUCUCUCAAACCUAAAGGGAAAGGAGGGAAAGAUCAAAGUAAAACAGGGAAGAUUAGUGAGAAAGACAGUGAAUUGUACCUAGAUGUGAUAUGUCUACAUCUUGCUCUAAAUGUUGUUAACUUUCAAAUAAACUAUCUAGUAACACCA